rnacentral:lncRNA from 1 species
UGGACCCGAGACCCCACAGCCGCCCCGAUCUCAGCUGCGUUGGGCACGGGGUGGGGGCAGCUGAACAUGAUUUUCCACUUUGUGUCCCCAAUCAGACCUGCCUGACCAGUGCACGCCCAACCCCUGCGAUAGGAAGGGGACCCAAGCCUGCCAGGACCUCAUGGGCAACUUCUUCUGCCUGUGUAAAGCUGGCUGGGGGGGCCGGCUCUGCGACAAAGAUGUCAACGAAUGCAGCCAGGAGAACGGGGGCUGCCUCCAGAUCUGCCACAACAAGCCGGGCAGCUUCCACUGUUCCUGCCACAGCGGCUUCGAGCUCUCCUCUGAUGGCAGGACCUGCCAAGGCGGCUGCUGCUGGCUGGGUUCCUGUGGUUCUGGAUGGGAUGGGGCAUCCUGCAGAGACUACACAAGCCCAGGCCAGCCGCAGCACAGGGAGCUGCUCGGCACCGCACCAGGAUGACUCACCCGGCAUCUGAGGGCCA